CUGCCAUGGCAUCAUCGCUCCUGGCCAGAAGCAGACCUUUCACAUGCGGUUCUGCCCGCAGUGCACGGGGAUGUUUAAGACCACCAUGCUGUGCAGGAUUCCUAACCUGAAGCCAGAUCAGAAGAUGGCGUGGGUGAUGGUGAAAGGCAGAGCCUGGGAGCAGAAGAGUCUGGGUGAACCAUUAGAGCAGACAGAGUAAGGCCAGGGACCCGAGAAGGAGGUGCUCUGGAGAGCAGCACCUGAGUGACAGCGUUUGUGUCAGCUCCAGCAUCCGUCAGUGCCUGCUGCUGCUGCUGGUCUCCCACCCUUCACCAGAGACCUCUGCAGCUACCCUCCCAAGUUCCAGUGAACACCUCUGUCCUACCUUUUAGUUAGCUAAGUUAAUUAACUACUUGUUGAUUAGAUUGAUAAGUAAUAGAUAACUGUCAGUUAAGUGUUAAUAAACAAUUGUUAAUAAAUUG